rnacentral:rRNA from 1 species
ACCUGCGGAGGGAUCAUUACAAGUGACCCCGGUCUAACCACCGGGAUGUUCAUAACCCUUUGUUGUCCGACUCUGUUGCCUCCGGGGCGACCCUGCCUUCGGGCGGGGGCUCCGGGUGGACACUUCAAACUCUUGCGUAACUUUGCAGUCUGAGUAAACUUAAUUAAUAAAUUAAAACUUUUAACAACGGAUCUCUUGGUUCUGGCAUCGAUGAAGAACGCAGCGAAAUGCGAUAAGUAAUGUGAAUUGCAGAAUUCAGUGAAUCAUCGAAUCUUUGAACGCACAUUGCGCCCCCUGGUAUUCCGGGGGGCAUGCCUGUUCGAGCGUCAUUUCACCACUCAAGCCUCGCUUGGUAUUGGGCAUCGCGGUCCGCCGCGUGCCUCAAAUCGACCGGCUGGGUCUUCUGUCCCCUAAGCGUUGUGGAAACUAUUCGCUAAAGGGUGUUCGGGAGGCUACGCCGUAAAACAACCCCAUUUCUAAGG